GUAGGUUGCGAGCGUUGUCCGGAUUUACUGGGCGUAAAGCGCACGCAGGCGGUUCCGAAAGUCGAAUGUGAAAGCUCCUGGCCCAACUGGGAGAGGCCGUUCGAAACUUCGGGACUUGAAGGCGGGAGAGGCGGAUGGAAUUUCCGGUGUAGCGGUAAAAUGCGUAGAUACCGGAAGGAACACCAGUGGCGAAAGCGAUCUGCUGGCCCGCCCUUGACGCUCAGGUGCGAAAGCUAGGGGAGCGACCGGGAUUAGAUACCCCGUUAGUCCUAGCCGUAAACAAUGGGCACUAGGUGUUGUCGGUAUCGACCCCGGCAGUGCCGAAGCUAACGCAUUAAGUGCCCCGCCUGGGGAGUACGACCGCAAGGUUA
rnacentral:rRNA from 1 species